GGCCGCGUGACGAAAUUGGCAAACGUGCCAGUUUUGGAUACUGGCGGGCACGAUUGCCCUUCCGGGUUCGAAUCCCGGCGUGGCCA
rnacentral:tRNA from 1 species